GUAGUCCACGCUGUAAACGAUGAGUGCUAGGUGUUCGGGGUUUCGAUACCCUGGGUGCCGAAGUUAACGCAUUAAGCACUCCGCCUGGGGAGUACGGUCGCAAGACUGAAACUCAAAGGAAUUGACGGGGACCCGCACAAGCAGUGGAGUAUGUGGUUUAAUUCGAAGCAACGCGAAGAACCUUACCAGGUCUUGACAUCGGCAUGACCGGCUUAGAGAUAAGCCUUUCCUUCGGGACAUGCCAGACAGGUGGUGCAUGGUUGUCGUCAGCUCGUGUCGUGAGAUGUUGGGUUAAGUCCCGCAACGAGCGCAACCCUUGACUUUAGUUGCCAGCAUUUUAAGAUGGGCACUCUAGAGUGACUGCCGGUGACAAACCGGA
rnacentral:rRNA from 1 species